UGGGGAAUUUUGGACAAUGGGCGCAAGCCUGAUCCAGCCAUGCCGCGUGCGGGAAGAAGGCCUUCGGGUUGUAAACCGCUUUUGUCAGGGAAGAAAUCUUCUGAGUUAAUACCUCGGGAGGAUGACGGUACCUGAAGAAUAAGCACCGGCUAACUACGUGCCAGCAGCCGCGGUAAUACGUAGGGUGCAAGCGUUAAUCGGAAUUACUGGGCGUAAAGCGUGCGCAGGCGGUUUUGUAAGACAGAGGUGAAAUCCCCGGGCUCAACCUGGGAACUGCCUUUGUGACUGCAAGGCUUGAGUGCGGCAGAGGGGGAUGGAAUUCCGCGUGUAGCAGUGAAAUGCGUAGAUAUGCGGAGGAACACCGAUGGCGAAGGCAAUCCCCUGGGCCUGCACUGACGCUCAUGCACGAAAGCGUGGGGAGCAAACAGGAUUAGAUAGCCCUGGUAGUCCACGCCCUAAAACGAUGUCAACUGGUUGUUGGGAAGGUUCCUUCUCAGUAACGUAGCUAACGCGUGAAGUUGACCGCCUGGGGAGUACGGCCGCAAGGUUGAAACUCAAAUGAAUUGACGGGGUCAUAGCAUGUUUCC
rnacentral:rRNA from 1 species